CGAUCCGUAGCGGGUCUGAGAGGAUGAUCCGCCACACUGGGACUGAGACACGGCCCAGACUCCUACGGGAGGCAGCAGUGGGGAAUUUUGGACAAUGGGCGCAAGCCUGAUCCAGCCAUGCCGCGUGAGUGAAGAAGGCCUUCGGGUUGUAAAGCUCUUUCGGCCGGGAAGAAAUCGUGGUCUCUAACAUAGGCCAUGGAUGACGGUACCGGACUAAGAAGCACCGGCUAACUACGUGCCAGCAGCCGCGGUAAUACGUAGGGUGCGAGCGUUAAUCGGAAUUACUGGGCGUAAAGCGUGCGCAGGCGGUUUUGUAAGACAGAUGUGAAAUCCCCGGGCUUAACCUGGGAACUGCGUUUGUGACUGCAAGGCUAGAGUACGGCAGAGGGGGGUGGAAUUCCUGGUGUAGCAGUGAAAUGCGUAGAGAUCAGGAGGAACACCGAUGGCGAAGGCAGCCCCCUGGGCCUGUACUGACGCUCAUGCACGAAAGCGUGGG
rnacentral:rRNA from 1 species